GGUAGCCUAACACGCUUCGGUGGGAGUCCCACACUCGGGGAAGGUAGUAUAGAGACCAGCGCCCCCGGCCAGGGCAUAAAGCAUUUCCCUCUGCUACGAA